UGUCUCCUGCGGUGUUCGACGGCUCCGUCCAAACCCCUUGAGCCUAAUUGCAAAACCCCGGGAGCCUUACCUGGUUCUGGCGUGCAGGCCCACCUUGCAGUGGGAAGCCCAAAGGCCGGCGCGGUGCCCACUUGAGACGUUCGUCUCAAGGUCAGUGACGAUGGCUACGGCACAGGCGGGAGACAC
rnacentral:other from 1 species